rnacentral:rRNA from 1 species
UACGGGGGGAGCAAGCGUUGUUCGGAUUUACUGGGCGUAAAGGGCGCGUAGGCGGCCAGCACAAGUCAGUUGUGAAAUCUCCGGGCUUAACUCGGAAAGGUCAACUGAUACUGUGCGGCUAGAGUGCAGAAGGGGCAACUGGAAUUCUCGGUGUAGCGGUGAAAUGCGUAGAUAUCAGGAGGAACACCGGUGGCGAAGGCGGAUCUCUGGGCCUGUCCUGACGCUCAGGCGCGAAAGCUAGGGGAGCAAACAGG